rnacentral:tRNA from 1 species
UACUAUACUUUAUUUUAGAAGGUAUGAUUUGCAAUCAUAAAGAAAGAUAUCCAUCUUUAGUACCA